rnacentral:lncRNA from 1 species
AAAUCACAUCAAAAAAUUAAAAAGAACUUGGCACGGUUAAAAGUGAUGUAAACAACAGAACACUGUGUAAGUGUGUGAAUUUGAUUUGCGAAGAAAACUUUUGUCUGCGAGUGCGGGAAGUUAGUUUCGGAUUUAUUCGAGUAAAUUAGGGAAAGUUUACGUAGUGCGUAGUUGAAUUUAUUGAAAAUUACUAGCCGCGAUCACCUAGUUCGCCAGAGAAUCCGAGAAGGACCGUGCCGUGUGUUUUCUGCUGCAGAACCUUUUUGCACCUGAAUCUGCGCUACCAUUCGCACCGUCACU